CCUACGGGAGGCAGCAGUGGGGAAUAUUGGACAAUGGGCGCAAGCCUGAUCCAGCCAUGCCGCGUGUGUGAAGAAGGCCUUCGGGUUGUAAAGCACUUUUAUCCGGAAAGAAAAGCUUUGGGUUAAUACCCUGAAGUCAUGACGGUACCGGAAGAAUAAGCACCGGCUAACUUCGUGCCAGCAGCCGCGGUAAUACGAAGGGUGCAAGCGUUACUCGGAAUUACUGGGCGUAAAGCGUGCGUAGGUGGUUUGUUAAGUCUGAUGUGAAAGCCCUAGGCUCAACCUGGGAAUUGCAUUGGAUACUGGCAGGCUAGAGUGCGGUAGAGGAUAGUGGAAUUCCCGGUGUAGCAGUGAAAUGCGUAGAGAUCGGGAGGAACAUCUGUGGCGAAGGCGACUAUCUGGGCCAGCACUGACACUGAGGCGCGAAAGCGUGGGGAGCAAACAGGAUUAGAUACCCUGGUAGUCCACGCCCUAAAACGAUGCGAACUGGAUGUUGGGUGCAACUAGGCACUCAGUAUCGAGCUAACGCGUUAAGUUACGCCGCCGUGGGAGGUACGGUCGCGAGACGNGAACGUACAAAUAGAGUUAGUACGGCGUGAGACGUUGCCGACGGACGACGACGAGGGGAGGAGGG
rnacentral:rRNA from 1 species